rnacentral:rRNA from 1 species
UUUUAUUUAUAGAAAUAUAUUUAAUUUUUUUUAUUUUAUUAGUAAAUUUAAUUUUUUUUAUUAUAUUAAAAAUUUUAAAUUAAUUUAUUUAAGAUAAUUGUAAAAUAAAUUUAUAUAAUUUUAUAAGAAUAAUUUAUUUUUUAUUCCUUUUGUAUUAGGAUAAUUUAAAUGAAUUUUAUAAAUUUUAAAUAUUUCGAAAAUUAAUGAAUUAAUUUAAUUAUGAUAUAUUUAUAUAGAAAUAUAAUAUAAAAUAUUGAAUUAGAGAUGAUAUAUUAAUCAUAUUAGUUGAUAUUUAAUUAUUAAAGAAAUAAAUUUAAUUUAUUAAUAAUUAAUUAAUAUAAAAAUUUAUUUUAUAUUAAAUUUUUAUUAUUAUAAUAAUAGAUAUAAUUUUAUUAUUAUUUUUAUAAAAAAUUUAUUUAAAUAUUUUUAUAUUAAGGAAUAAAAAUUUAGUAAUAUAUAAAUAUAAUAAUUUAUUAUUUUAUUAUUAUAAUUUUUUUUUAAUUAAAAUUUUAUUUAAUUUAAAUUAAAUAAUUAUAAAUUUAUUAUUAUUAUGAAUUAAUUAGUAAUUUUUUUUUAAGAAGUAAAUUGUUUAAAUUAUAAAUUAUUUAUUAUAAAUUAAACAUAAAUAAAUUUUCACUUAUUUAAUAAAAAUAUGGUUUAAGGUUAAAAAAUUUUAGAUUUAAUUUGUUCAAUGAAAUUAUUUAAAUAAUUGCAGUAUUUUAACUGUAUUAAAGUAGCAUAAUCAUUUGUUUUUUAAUUGGAGACUGGGAUGAAUAAUUUGAUGAGAGAUUUAUUUUUUUAUAAAUAAAAAAUUAAUUUAAUUUAAUAAUAAAAAAGUUAUUAUUUAUUUAAUAGACGAGAAGACCCUAUAGAAUUUUAUUUAUAAUUAAUUUAUUGAAAUAAUUAAUAUAAAUUGUAUUGGGGUGAUAAAAAAAUUAAUGAAACUUUUUAAUAAAAUAAAUAUAUUAUUAUUAAUAUUAUUGAUUUUAAUAAAGUUUAAGAAAAAUUACCUUAGGGAUAACAGCAUAAUUUUUAUGGAAAGAAUAAAUUUAUAUAAAAGAUUAUGACCUCGAUGUUGAAUUAUGAUAUUAUAUAUUUAUAAAAAAUUAUAUUAUUAAUCUGUUCGAUUAUUAAAAUCAUACUUGAUUUGAGUUAAAAUCGGUGUGAGCCAGAUUGGAUUUUAUCUUUAAUUUUUAAAUAAAAUUAUUGUACGAAAGGAAUUAAUCUUAUAAAUUA